UGUGUGCUUGCUAUCACAAAUGUAACUGAUAGUGAAUGUUGUGUUCAGAUUUUAUAUUUCUGAAUUAACGUGUGAAUGCCAGUAGUUGGUCUGUUGAUCAAGGGGGUCGGUGGAUAAUGUCUGUACGCUCUGUGUAGGUCUACAGCAUUACAUCAGAUGUAUAGGUUGGUACUUAGUCUGCUGAGUGUGUAGGUCAGUAGCCGGAGAGUUUAUUAGGUGUGUAGGUCAGUAGCUGAUCUAUUGAUCAGGUGUAUAGGUCAUUAGUGGGUGAGUUGUUCACAAGUGAAGGUCAGUAGCUGAGAUUUGUAGGUCAGUAGCUGGUGAAUUGUUCAGGUGUGUAGGUCAGUAUUGGUUGAGUUGAUGGGUGUAGGUCAGUAGUGGGUGAGUUGAUGGGUGUAGGUCAGUAGUGGGUGAGUUGAUGGGUGUAGGUCAGUAGUGGGUGAGUUGAUGGGUGUAGGUCAGUAGUGGGUGAGUUGAUGGGUGUAGGUCAGUAGUGGGUGAGUUGAUGUGUAGGUCAUUAGUGGGUGAGUUGAUGGGUGUAGGUCAGUAGUGGGUGAGUUGAUGGGUGUAGGUCAGUAGUGGGUGAGUUGAUGGGUGUAGGUCAUUAGAGAGUGUGUUGAUGGGUGAAGGUCAGUACUGG
ensembl:lncRNA